rnacentral:rRNA from 1 species
AAACUGAAGAGUUUGAUCCUGGCUCAGAUUGAACGCUGGCGGCAUGCCUAACACAUGCAAGUCGAACGGUAACGCGGAGAGCUUGCUCUCUGGCGACGAGUGGCGGACGGGUGAGUAAUACUUAGGAAUCUGCCCAGUAGUGGGGGACAACAUUCGGAAACGGAUGCUAAUACCGCAUACGCCCUACGGGGGAAAGCGGGGGAUCUUCGGACCUCGCGCUAUUGGAUGAGCCUAAGUCGGAUUAGCUUGUUGGUGAGGUAAAGGCUCACCAAGGCGACGAUCCGUAGCUGGUCUGAGAGGACGAUCAGCCACACUGGGACUGAGACACGGCCCAGACUCCUACGGGAGGCAGCAGUGGGGAAUAUUGGACAAUGGGCGCAAGCCUGAUC